CACCACGUCAUUGAGGAGGAGGAGGUGCUCCCUCUGCAUCACCACGUCAUUGAGGAGGAGGAGGUGCUCCCUCUGCAUCACCACGUCAUUGAGGAGGAGGUGCUCCCUAUAUAGUGCACUAUUUUAGACCAGAGCCCUAUGGCACCCUAUUCCCUAUAUAGUGCACUAUUUUAGACCAGAGCCCUGUGGGUUCUGAUGAUUCAAAGUAAUGCACUAUAGGUGAGACGAGGUUUUAAUACACUGAUGAGGUAUUAAUACACUGUUUUAAUACACUGAUGAGGUAUUAAUACACUGUUUUAAUACACUGAUGAGGUAUUAAUACACUGACGAGGUUUUAAUACACUGUUUUAAUACACUGUUUUAAUACACUGAUGUUUUAAUACACUGACGAGGUAUUAAUACACUGUUUUAAUACACUGACGAGGUAUUAAUACACUGUUUUAAUACACUGACGAGGUAUUAAUACACUGACGAGGUAUUAAUACACUGUUUUAAUACACUGACGAGGUAUUUGAUGUGGACGGAUACAGACGUUUACCCAGUGCUGGUUACAGUUUGUCUAUAUAGUCUCCAAUGAUGACAUGAUUUUUGUUGUUUUAAUUAUGUCUUGUCUCGGAAACCUGCUUUUCCUGGUAGUUUUCAAAUGAACAGUUAAAUCAUCACAAGAUGUUAUGUUUGUAAUAAUGGUCUUUGGCGUGGAGACGGCCAACUCGUCCAGUUGAUUUCAUUCAUUUAGUCUGUGUUUUGUGAGUUUAACCUUGCAGGAAUGACAAGUGUCAUCAUGUGUUUGACUGGGAGCCGUCAUGAUUUAGCUACCGUUCAUGUGGUUGAAUCUGUGAUGAUUGCUUAGUUUAUAGUUUAUAACAAUUACAUUUUAUUUGUUGAAUCGCGUCCGAGUUUAAUUUGAUGUUUCAUCCUGUGUACAUUUUGUAUGAUUCAAAACCAUAUGGACAGCGGCGUUUCUUCCAUAUUUUGUUGUUGAGAAACUUAAAUACUGUGACUUGACUUCAGGUACCCAGAAUGAUCGAUAACAGCAGUACAAAUGGUAGUUUCACAGGUCUUUUCAAGUGCUGUUAACAUUGACUUACUCUUCAAUCAUGAUUAUGUUUUUCCAAUCACUUCACCGUCAGGACUUCUUUCUAUUUAAAUCUGAACCUGUAGUGCUGACAUCUUUGUCCUGGGGAAUAUGGCAGUCCUGUGUGAGACUUUAAUAACACUGCCAUCCAGUCCGUCAAUACAAUCCUCACAGUCUGUAGCCAUACAUUUUAAUAGACCCAGCCUCGGACUUACACAGUAACAGUAACUUUACUAUAAAACACUGACACAUAUUUACUGUUCUGUUUUAAAUGCUGUUUGACUGUUCACGAUUCCAUGUCAACCAUUACUACACCAGAAGCAAUAAAGUGUAUUUUGAUUUGUUUCUCAGACUCUUCCUGUCAUUUCAUUUUGGGGGUACUUUCACAUUCUACUGGUGUUGUGUACAUCUGUUUGUUGAGAGAAACGCUGAGCUUCAAUCUCUUCUUCGGAGCUCAUUAACUAAUCUCUAAUGUCCUCCAUUUUAUGAAAUGGAUGUUCUGUUCUGAGGUCCAAACCCAUCUUUAAUGCAACGGUUCUGCUAAGUAUGUUAUUAACGUAUGGUCCUCGAAUCACAAAGAUCCAG
rnacentral:lncRNA from 1 species